rnacentral:rRNA from 1 species
UGGGGAAUAUUGCACAAUGGGCGCAAGCCUGAUGCAGCCAUGCCGCGUGUGUGAAGAAGGCCUUCGGGUUGUAAAGCACUUUCAGCGAGGAGGAAGGGUUCAGUGUUAAUAGCACUGUUCAUUGACGUUACUCGCAGAAGAAGCACCGGCUAACUCCGUGCCAGCAGCCGCGGUAAUACGGAGGGUGCAAGCGUUAAUCGGAAUUACUGGGCGUAAAGCGCACGCAGGCGGUUUGUUAAGUCAGAUGUGAAAUCCCCGCGCUUAACGUGGGAACUGCGUUUGAAACUGGCAAGCUAGAGUCUUGUAGAGGGGGGUAGAAUUCCAGGUGUAGCGGUGAAAUGCGUAGAGAUCUGGAGGAAUACCGGUGGCGAAGGCGGCCCCCUGGACAAA